rnacentral:misc_RNA from 1 species
GAGAGAGAGAGAGGUACACUAUGCUUCAUUACUAUCCAAGCCCAUGCCUCAACACCCCUCCAAAGUAUCAAGUCCUUGAUCCAGGUCAAGUUACAACAGUAACAGUGUUAAAGAAACAAGUAAAUCACAUCCUGAAAGAAAGCCAGUGCAAGAAGCCCAUAAUUUGUUCCUUAAGAUCGUUAUCUUGGGCCAAAAAUAGCAGGAAAAAAGAGUUAUAUGUGUUGAGAAAUCUACGUAUACUAACUAGAAAGAAUGGUAUUCCUGCCAUUUUUUUACAGAAUAAUUGGCUUGCACCAAAUUCUGAGGAUGGUGAUGAUAUUUGUUCAAGUUCUAAGAGGGGACCAAUUCUAGAGCACUUAAAUUCCUUAUAUCAGUUUUCACGUCCUCACACUGUGAUUGGCACUAUUAUAGGAAUAACAUCAGUUUCCCUUCUUCCGGUAGAAACAAUUGUUGACCUGUCUCCCACAUAUUUUAUUGGGCUACUGAAAGCACUGGUGCCUUCAGUGUUGAUGAACAUUUACGUGGUGGGAUUGAAUCAAUUGUUUGAUGUUGAAAUUGACAAGGUAAAUAAACCCUAUCUCCCACUUGCUUCUGGCAAGUUCUCAAUGGCAACUGGUAUCCUAAUUGUUUCUGCAUCUUUAUUGCUGAGUCUUUAUAUGGGAAUUACGUUUCAAUCUCCACCACUUCUUGCAGCCCUCCUUAUAAGUUUUGCCCUUGGAAGUGUAUAUUCCAUUGAACUUCCCUUUCUGAGAUGGAAGAAACAUGCUUUUCUUGCUGCAAGUUGUAUUCUGAUCGUAAGAGCAAUGGUUGUUCAACUUGCCUUCUUUGUACACAUCCAGGUAAUUCUCAGAUUCUUCAUUUCACAAUUUACUCAGCAUAUUCGAGAGCCACAACACAAGCCCACAAAAUAUUUCUACUUUGUUUUACUGAUUUGUUACUGAGAGAUCUAUAAAUGCAGAAAUUUGUUCUUGGAAAAUCCAUAUUUAUUCCCAGAUCGUUGAUGUUUGCAACUGCUUUCAUGUGCUUCUUCUCUGCUGUUAUUGCACUAUUCAAGGACAUCCCAGAUGUGGAGGGGGACAGAGAUUAUGGGAUCCAAUCCUUCAGUGUCAGCCUUGGCCAAGAAAGAGUCUUUUGGCUUUGCGUUAACAUGCUAUUAGUGGCCUAUGGUGCUGCUGUCGUACACGGAGCUUCUUCUCCUUCUUCGCUCCUACCAGUCAAGCUUAUCACAAUGAUAGGGCAUAGCACAAUUGCUUGGAUUUUGUGGAUGAAAGCACAAUUCGUUGAUCUCACCAGCCAGAAGUCUAUUACUUCUUUUUACAUGUUCAUAUGGAAGUUAUUCUAUGCGGAGUAUUUCCUUAUCCCUUUUGUGCGUUGAGAGUGACAAAUAUUAAAGGCUUGCAACUUCAAGAAGACAAUAACGUCCCCCAGGAACCACUGUUAUAACACAGAUGAAAGAGAUUGAGGCAUUGCUGGCUGGU